rnacentral:rRNA from 1 species
AUUGAACGCUGGCGGCAGGCCUAACACAUGCAAGUCGGACGGUAGCACAGAAGAGCUUGCUCUUCGGGUGACGAGUGGCGGACGGGUGAGUAAUGUCUGGGAAACUGCCCGAUGGCGGGGGAUAACUACUGGAAACGGUAGCUAAUACCGCAUAACGUCGCAAGACCAAAGUGGGGGACCUUCGGGCCUCACGCCAUCGGAUGUGCCCAGAUGGGAUUAGCUAGUAGGUGGGGUAACGGCUCACCUAGGCGACGAUCCCUAGCUGGUCUGAGAGGAUGACCAGCCACACUGGAACUGAGACACGGUCCAGACUCCUACGGGAGGCAGCAGUGGGGAAUAUUGCACAAUGGGCGCAAGCCUGAUGCAGCCAUGCCGCGUGUAUGAAGAAGGCCUUCGGGUUGUAAAGUACUUUCAGCGGGGAGGAAGGCGGUAAGGUUAAUAACCUUGCCGAUUGACGUUACCCGCAGAAGAAGCACCGGCUAACUCCGUGCCAGCCGCCGCCGUAAUAC